rnacentral:tRNA from 1 species
GGGCGAUUAGCUCAGUGGCGAGAGCAUCUGCCUUACAAGCAGGGGGUCAUAGGUUCGAAUCCUAUAUCGCCCACCA